GGGGGGGACUGGGGGAUGUGAUGGAGUUAAAGAUCCUUGAACAUCGCUGGUGCUGCUCGUGGUCUAACUGAGGCACCCAGACACCUCAAAUUCAACGUGAAACCACUCUGGAAUGACAGCCAGCCUCACCCGAGCAGCCCAGGCGCCUCAUAAACAAAGACACUCCUGCUAUUCUUGACCAGCGGCAUAACACACUCAUAAUGCUGCUCUAAUAAUACAUCACAUCUAUAAAUAGUACAUCUGGCAUUGGCAUCUGUGGCAUCUGCGGCAUCUGUGGUAUCUGUGGCGUCUGAGAACCCCCUCACCCCUCAACCUGACCGCCGAAAAUAAACACGAGCUGCCUGCACUCACAAUGAAGCAUCUCUGAGAGGCUUCUUCAUCAAGCCCAUCGAUGAGGUGAUUGGAAGUUUGACCCACAAUUACACGAUCUGAACAUGGCCAGUGUGACCGAAACGUGUUUGCACGCUGUCACAGAAGGUCAAACAAGUCCUUGACCAACAGGUCAAAUGCAAAAAUAGAGAUUUGUUUCUAUUUAAUUCGAUUUUCAUUUACAGCUAACUGAGAAAUCUGUAGAUGUGUGUGAAUCACUACUGGUUCAUAGUUUAACAUCAAGUCGAUGUUCACAAUAGAUCAAAUGACUACGUACACUAUGUUUAUUUGAACUCUGCAGUUCCCCUUCAGCUUUACAGCUUCGCUAAGCUUCUUCUUUGGUUUUAUAGUCUGUUUUGGUUUUAUAACUGCUUUGGUUUAAUCUCCCUUACGUCACAGAACCUCUGUCCAUGUUUUAUAUAGAAUAAAUGUGAAAUGCACUGGUUUCUUUCAGUAACUACAAUGUAAACCCAUUUGCAUUAUUACAAGAGAGGGAAUGCUCAGGGAAAGUGAUGCCGUAGUUUAACACUGACUUGCAACCGAGAAGGCGGUUGUUCAGGACCACUGUGGAGUUACUUUGGUGUCGUGCGUGAUGUGUUCAUUCUUAUGCUAGUUGUUUACAUUUUACAUACCAUGACGUAUUUCCUAAACCUGACUCAUUGUUCGUAUUGUUUUGCGAAACCCAAGCAUUGUUUUUCUGUGAGUUGUCCACGUUAACUGGAGCUCUAAUAAACUAUGAAAGUCUACCGGCGAGCAGCAGACAGACGCAGCUUGUGACCAGAGACUAGUGCCGAGAGACGGAGACACUAAUGUAGUGUAAUAACGUAACAAUUGCCCAGUGCCACAAGAUUACACGUUUUAUUUGGGUGGGAUAAGCUGCAGCCGUGUGAUCACUUUUAAACGUGAGCCUCAAAUGAUGUUUUUGUCCCGUUUCCCUCUCUCACAUCCUC
ensembl:lncRNA